GAUGAACGCUGGCGGCGUGCCUAAUACAUGCAAGUCGAGCGAACAGAUGAGGAGCUUGCUCCUCUGACGUUAGCGGCGGACGGGUGAGUAACACGUGGAUAACCUACCUAUAAGACUGGGAUAACUUCGGGAAACCGGAUCUAAUACCGGAUAAUAUAUUGAACCGCAUGGUUCAAUAGUGAAAUACGGUUUUGCUGUCACUUAUAGCUGGAUCCGCGCCGCAUUCGCUAGUUGGUAAGGUAACGGCUUACCAAGGCAACGAUGCGUAGCCGACCUGAGGGGGUGAUCGGCCACACUGGAACUGAGACACGGUCCAGACUCCUACGGGAGGCAGCAGUAGGGAAUCUUCCGCAAUGGGCGAGAGCCUGACGGAGCAACGCCGCGUGAGUGAUGAAGGUCUUCGGAUCGUAAAACUCUGUUAUUAGGGAAGAACAAAUGUGUAAGUAACUAUGCACGUCUUGACGGUACCUAAUCAGAAAGCCACGGCUAACUACGUG
rnacentral:rRNA from 1 species